rnacentral:rRNA from 1 species
AAUAAACGCUGGCGGCGUGCCUAACACAUGCAAGUCGAGCGAGAAAGCUCCUUCGGGAGUAAGUAAAGCGGCGAACGGGUGAGUAACACGUGAGAAUCUACCCUUUAGUGAAGAAUACCUCCGAGAAAUCGGGGUUAAUACUGCAUACGUCCCUCCGGGGAGAAAGAUGGCCUCUUUGCUAUCGCUAAAGGAUGAGCUUGCGUACUAUUAGUUAGUUGGUGAGGUAAUGGCUCACCAAGACAAUGAUGGUUAACCGGCCUGAGAGGGUGUUCGGUCACACUGGAACUUAGACACGGUCCAGACUCCUACGGGAGGCUG